rnacentral:rRNA from 1 species
GAGGCUCGAAAGCGUGGGGAGCAAACAGGAUUAGAUACCCUGGUAGUCCUCGCGGUAAACGAUGAAUGUUAGGUGUUGGCGGGCAAAGCCCGUCGGUGCCGCCGCAAACGCAUUAAGCAUUCCACGUGGGGAGUACGUUCGCAAGAAUGAAACUCAAAGGAAUUGACGGGGACCCUCACAAGCGGUGGAGCAUGUGGUUUAAUUGGAAGCAACGCGAAGAACCUUACCAAGUCUUGACAUCCCAAUGAAUGUCUGGUAAAGCAGACAGACCUUCGGGACAUUGGAGACAGGUGGUGCAUGGUUGUCGUCAGCUCGUGUCGUGAGAUGUUGGGUUAAGUCCCGCAACGAGCGCAACCCUUAUCCUUAGUAGCCAGCGAGUAGAGUCGGGCACUCUGGGGAGACUGCCAGGGAGAACCUGGAGGAAGGUGGGGAUGACGUCAAAUCAUCAUGCCCCUUAUGAUUUGGGCUACACACGUGCUACAAUGGCGUAAACAAAGGGAAGCGAAGUGGCGACAUGGAGCGAACCCCAAAAAUAACGUCUCAGUUCGGAUUGUAGUCCGCAACUCGACUACAUGAAGCUGGAAUCGCUAGUAAUCGCGGAUCAGAAUGCCGCGGUGAAUACGUUCCCGGGUCUUGCACACACCGCCCGUCA